CAAUGAUCUUCCCAGUGAAGUGUAAAUGGGAGCAUUUCUCAAGGAUGGAUCAUAACUGACUAUUGUGUGUCUCAAGGUUGGCUCCAAACCAGCAGAAGCUGAAUAAAGAACUGUGAACUUGGAAUGACUGUGGGACGCUAGGCUCUUACUGGUCCUAACUGAAGACUUUUUCCCAACAGCGAGCAAUGGGGCUUCUUUUAACCAACUCUAUUUACAACCUUAGAUUCAUUCCGUUCUUUGCAAAGUACUGGAUUUCAACACUUAAUUAGCAAUAACCACAUGAACCUACCCUGGCAAGCCCUUUAACAACUCUGAAUUUUCCCUCUCAGUGAGCUACUACUUAAUUCAGUAAAUUUCUCCCUAUCCUGUAUUCCUGUGGCUAGCAAGUCAAUAGACUCAGCUUUUAUUUUAUUUUGAGUUGGAGUCUCGCUCUGUCAUUCAGGCUAGAGUGCAGUAGCUUCAUUUUGGCUCACUGCAACCUCUGCCUCCCGGGUUCAAGCGAUUCUCUUGCCUCAGCCUCCUGGGUAGCUGGGACUACAGGCAUGUGCCACCAUGCCCAGCUAAUUUCUGCAUUUCUAGUGGAGAUGGGGUUUCACCAUGUUGGCCAGGCUGGUCUUGAACUCCUCACCUCAAGUGAUCCACCGGCCUCGGCCUCCCAAAGUGCUGGGAUUACAGGCAUGAGCCAGUGCUCCUGACCUCAACUUUUAAUUUUUAUCUAUCGAUCUAGUCUAUUAUUACCCGCUACUUACCUACCCAUCCAUCCAUUCAUCCAUCCAUCCAUCUGCCCAUCCUUUUUUUUGUUUAUUAGCUCUGGUCUUUGUUAUAUUUGUUGAUAGGCCCAAGUAAAUUAGUAUGUGUAAAACUCACUUAAAACAGUGCUUAGCACAUGGUAAGCAUAAUAUGUGAUAGCCCUUAUGAUCUAGUAACUCACCAGUAUCUUGUGUGUAUUAGAACAAUGUGUCUCUGUAAUAUUUUAAUUAUAUCUCUAUAAGAGCAUACAUAAAUGACAAUAUAUAAAUCUCAAUAACAGAAUGUUUCUAACCCAAGUUUUAAGUAAUGAUAUGUGUUCAGGAAUACUUCAUCUGGCAUCUAGGGGAAUGGUUGGGAAGAUUUUGAGCUUCUCCAGUGGGAAAAAGGCUGGCAUAUUCAGGUCUAACUUCAGAGUCAAAGUCUUUGAAGUUAAUAAAUAGUUUUUAAUUUUGAAUAAAAUAAAAACUAUUUUUUUUAGUUUGAAGAAAGACUAUUCA
rnacentral:lncRNA from 10 species